GACGAACGCUGGCGGCGUGCCUAAUACAUGCAAGUUGAGCGCUGAAGGUUGGUACUUGUACCAACUGGAUGAGCAGCGGACGGGUGAGUAACGCGUGGGGAAUCUGCCUUUGAGCGGGGGACAACAUUUGGAAACGAAUGCUAAUACCGCAUAAAAACUUUAAACACAAGUUUUAAGUUUGAAAGAUGCAAUUGCAUCACUCAAAGAUGAUCCCGCGUUGUAUUAGCUAGUUGGUGAGGUAAAGGCUCACCAAGGCGAUGAUACAUAGCCGACCUGAGAGGGUGAUCGGCCACAUUGGGACUGAGACACGGCCCAAACUCCUACGGGAGGCAGCAGUAGGGAAUCUUCGGCAAUGGACGAAAGUCUGACCGAGCAACGCCGCGUGAGUGAAGAAGGUUUUCGGAUCGUAAAACUCUGUUGGUAGAGAAGAACGUUGGUGAGAGUGGAAAGCUCAUCAAGUGACGGUAACUACCCAGAAAGGGACGGCUAACUACGCG
rnacentral:rRNA from 1 species